AUUUAUUUAGUAUAUUAAAUGUACACUUGACUUCCAAUCAAGAAGAUUGAAAAAUUCAAAAUAAAUA
rnacentral:tRNA from 1 species